UCCGAAUGUCAAUGGGUAAAACCUUUAGAUCCCAUUUUAUUUUUUUAUAUUUUCUUCACCUGACAAGAAAAUCAUUAAGUUUCAGGGAGUAAUAAUUGUUUCAGUUAAGCAUUCGGCCAUAUCUUGAAAUUCAUGAAUGACACUUACAUUUUAAAUUUUCGAAGACCGAUCAUCCUUAUUUGUACAAGAAAUGUGUUGUUUUUUUUUCAGCUUUUUUAUGCUUGUGAGAUGAGAUUUCAUUUUAACUUCACUACAAUGAACAAGAGAAUGAUAAAAUCAUGAACAUGGAAAGAACAGAUCCAUAUACUUACUGAGACACACAUCAUCCAGUAAAUGCAUAGCAAGAUGAUCUAUGCCCAAAUCUCCUAUCAUAGGAUUUUGAUUCAAAGUGAUACGUUUCAAGCCAUCGCUAUUUACUGUUCCUUCUGUGUUGGCUGGAUGAGAAGUCGGAGACCAAACUUCCCUGGAGCUAAUUGACGAAUGCUCCUGAAAAUGAAAAAAUUACAUUUUUGACUGAGAAUCGGGUAUGUAAUUACUUAAUUAAGGAAAAAGAGGGCUUGAAGCUGAAAAUUUAUAUAUUAAAAAAUGUUACCUCUGCUUGGAGGAGUGGUUUAUGAAAAUCUUUGUAUAAUGCUGUGAAACCUAACUGUAGUUCGGUAUAAGCAAAAUAAAAAAGAAUGAUGAAAUGAA